UACGUAGGGGGCAAGCGUUGUCCGGAUUUAUUGGGCGUAAAGAGCGUGUAGGCGGCCAGGUAGGUCCGUUGUGAAAACUCGAGGCUCAACCUCGAGACGUCGGCGGAAACCCUCUGGCUAGAGUCCGGAAGAGGAGAGUGGAAUUCCUGGUGUAGCGGUGAAAUGCGCAGAUAUCAGGAGGAACACCAAUGGCGAAGGCAGCUCGCUGGGACGGUACUGACGCUGAGACGCGAAAGCGUGGGGAGCAAACAGG
rnacentral:rRNA from 1 species